CCUGAGGAAAAAUUUUCAAGCUGACAUUUCAAUGUCAAAUUAUAAUUCAUUCGAUGCGUCUUGACGAGAGGAACACGAUACCGGUAAAACUUAACUCGUGCAUGGCUUGAGUCAAAAGUUGUAGAUGGCGCCAGCCAGAUUUGGUGCAUUGUGGUACUUGUCCGUGUUGCAUUAUCCUUUUCCGGCCUGUCUGAUUUACCUAUGCCUUUGAUUUACACGUUAUUCUGUUUUGUCAUCACUCCCCGCCCUCUAGCCGAGUUUGUUGCGUCAGAAUUCUGGCAACUUUAGAGAUGUGCGUCGAGCGAGGCGGAUAAAAUGUAUAGAAGGCGUGUGUUUUCUGCCGAGAUAUUGAAGAUUUAACUAUGAGAAAUAUUACUGUAUUCGUCGCGUGGAUUUGGAAUGCCCAACCUACUUAAUUUGAUGUGUGCGAGUGAUGGUGAAAUCUCGGUACCUGUCAGUGCGCGACACUAUUUCGUUCUUUCCGGCGGGUGCGUCUGGCCCGAGAGGUUGUGUCGGCUGCGGUGCUGGUUUUGGACAGAAGGUGGGUGGAUAUUCAUCGAUGAUUGUCGUAAAUUUGUUGCUCAAGGAAUGUUGAUUGCUCGUCAGGCGUUAGAUUUAUUUUGCAUACGUAUUUCGGUGAUUAUAAUAUGCUCAUAGGACGGCAUGGAAUUUCGCCUCAGGUGCGUCAUUUUGCAGUGUGCUCUGUUUGUAUAGGUGCCCGGGGAUGAGCUCGGCCUGUGCGAGCCCGGUUUUCCCCGUGGCUGAGUGCGCCGUGUGACGAGGCUGCGGUGCGAGGUCGGCCGCGGUACGAGGUCUGCCGCCGGGAGGUCGGCCGGCGCGAGUCUGCUGCGGUUCGAGGUCGGCCGCUGAGAAAAGGGCGUGGAGACCCUUACAGCCGUAACGAAUCAGUUUAAAUACAACUGUUCAGUCAA